GUCGAACGCUGGCGGCGGGCUUAACACAUGCAAGUCGAACGGAAAGGCCCUGCUUUUGUGGGGUUCUCGAGUGGCGAACGGGUGAGUAACACGUGAGUCACCUUCCCUUGACUUUGGGAUAACUUCAGGAAACUGGGGCUAAUACCGGAUAGGAGCUCCUGCUGCAUGGUGGGGGUUGGAACGUUUCGGCGGUUGGGGAUGGACUCGCGGCUUAUCAGCUUGUUGGUGGGGUAGUGGCUUACCCAGGGUUAGACGGGUGGCCGGCAUGGGAGGGUGAACGGGGACAAUGGGACUGAGAGACGGCGCAGAGUCGUAAAGGAGGCAGCAGGGGGGAGUAUUGUACAAUGGGCGGGAGCGUGAGGCAGAAACGCCGGGAGUGGGAAGAAGGCCAUGGGGUUGGGAACCGCAGUAAGUUGUGACGAAGCGUGAGUGACGGUAAUAGGAAAAGAAGCACCGGCUAACUACGUG
rnacentral:rRNA from 1 species